rnacentral:rRNA from 1 species
UACGUAGGGCGCAAGCGUUGUCCGGAAUUAUUGGGCGUAAAGAGCUCGUAGGCGGUCUGUUACGUCGGAAGUGAAAACCCGGGGCUUAACCCCGAGCCUGCUUCUGAUACGGGCAGACUAGAGGUAUGCAGGGGAGAACGGAAUUCCUGGUGUAGCGGUGAAAUGCGCAGAUAUCAGGAGGAACACCGGUGGCGAAGGCGGUUCUCUGGGCAUUACCUGACGCUGAGGAGCGAAAGUGUGGGGAGCGAACAGG